UGCCUGUCUGUGGAAUCUGUUUCCCUAAC
rnacentral:piRNA from 1 species